AGUCCAUUAUUCUCUGAUCCACUCUCUUUAAAACUCCUCAUCUCUAAAUUGGCGUCAAAGCGACGCCGGUUCAGUGGCGCCAACUAUGACGGCGAAAUGCUGGAAAAUUCCCGCAAAUUCUUGGCCAGAAUCUUUGGGAUAAGAUAUACACAAAAGCAUGGUAUACAGAAUCAAAAGAGUACGGUUUUCGUUCUGAGUUGAUUUGCUCAACUGCUUAUAAGAUGAAUUGUGCCAAUGUGCCCUGGACAACCAUCACCAACUAUGCCCCUGGUUUACAAUAUUAGUUUGGUUCCUGAUUCUUGGUGACCUUGGUGUGAAAUCCUUCUAAUUUGCCCUGCAGGUUGAGCUUAGUUCUAAGAAGUCCUACCUUGGACACACUCACACAGUGCAAUUGCUAGGUGAAUUGGCCCCCUUCAUCAUAUAAAGGUUGUAGCUGAUAAAGUUGAUUAUCUGUACUUUCUCCUCAUCGAGCUAGUGUCCAGUUUCAUUGAUAUGGUACAUACUCCCUCUCCAUUGGGGGUAAUUGUCACAUAAUCCAACUCACAUAGACAGGUGAAUAUUUACAAAGCUCACUAAAAUACUCUAUUAAUCUAUGUUGUUUCCAUAUUCUCUCCACCUCUGUAAUAGUCUAGAAAGUGUAAAAAUUCUUCCCGAACAUUUUAAAAUAGUAUUAUGUAGUCAGUACUACAUACUGACUUGUUUAUGGAAGAACGGGGGACAAUAUAUCAUCUGGUACCAAAA